CAAUUUAAAGCUUAACUAGUAAAGCAUUUCAUUUACAUUGAAAAAAAAAUUGUGCAAUUCAAUUUAAAUUGA
rnacentral:tRNA from 1 species